AAAAAAUCAACAUGGCGGAUGUUUAUACGGAUUCAGAUGAUAAAAAGGAAGAUAGUCGGGGACAAAAGGAGCCAUCAGACACAUCACAGACAAAAGAUGGUUCUGGCCCCUUCCAUGGAGUGAUGCCACCAAAUCCAUUUGGGCUCCGCCCCCAACUGAAAUCAGACGUUGUUACCAACUCCUCUCACUACACAUUUAAUACACACCCAGUGUAUAUUGCUCCUAGUAGACUCGGUUCUAGUUCAGUCUUUUCAAAAUCACAAACCUCAAGUGACACAGAUAACAAAGGUCCACAUAAAUCCUCAGUUCUUGCUCCUUCUAAACUGGAUAUGUUGAAUCAAACAGACAGUUCAAGCCCUUCCAAGUCAUUAUUACGCCCAUCACCCCUGUCUUUCUGUGUUCAGAAUUUAAAACAAAAAGAGAGUGAUGUUAAAAGCAAAGAGAAAGAAAAUCAAGAGAAGACGAGCAGUGGUGAUCUAGUGCCUAAUGAAGUCGAAAAUGUUGCUAAUGACCCAGAGGUCAAAGGUGAUUCAGAUGUUAAAGGUGAAGUGGAAAAGAAUAAAGGCAGUGACCCAGAGCCUAAAGCUGGUGUUUUAAGUGACUCUUUUAGUGCUACAAGUGAAGCUACACAGGAGAAUUAUUUUGCUGCUGCACUUACCAAACCAGAUGGAAAAGAAUCUGAAUCUUCUUCAAAAGCAGAUGAAAAAUCGGGGCAGUUUAUUUUCGGUCAGAACUUAACUGAACGUGUUAUGGGUGUGGCAAAGUCUCCAGAGAAAACCAAAGAAGAGUUUGUGUUUGGUCAGAACUUGGAACAGAGGGUAAUAAAAACAGAUCCCAGUGCAGAGGAGCAUAAAGAGGACGAAUCAAAAAGUGAAUGUCUUUCCCCCUCCGAUAAAGCCCUUACACUAGAGGAGUCGGCUCGAGAAUUCCAAGCCAGGAUUGAGAAGCAUGUGGAUUUCAAGGAAGUGGAUGUUGUCACUGGAGAAGAAGGGGAAUCUAAUGUUUUACAGGUAAAACUUUAAGGGAAUCCAAGUGAAUCUCUACUUUCACCUGAUCUGGAGAUUUAUAGCCUCAAAGAAUAAAACCCAUCUUGAGUCUUGUUUAUACUUUUGAGGAAUAAAUUUCUAUCAUCUUGGUAUAUUCUGAAUUUAUAAAAAAAAUACCUGUACAUUUAGGCUACUGCUAAGUUGUUUGUGUUUGAAUCCCAUGGUCACAACUGGGUGGAACGAGGCAGGGGAUUGCUGAGACUGAACGAUCUGAUCACGCCCUCACCUACAGAGUUCCAGUCCAGGCUGGUGAUGAGAACUCAUGGCAGCCUGAGAGUAAUCCUUAACACAAAGAUAUGGCCCGGGAUGACCAUAGAGAGAGCUAGUAGUAAGAGUGUAAGAAUCACUGCUACAGACGGGGCCGAGGGCGUCAAAGUCUUCCUUAUUGUGACAAGCCCCAAGGAUACAGAGAACAUUCUGCGAGCUGUAGACUGGAGAAUACAGCAGCUGCGCGUCAGAGAGGACAGUGAUAAACCUCAGGCAGAAAAACGCAAGGUUGAUCAAGAUGAGUCCUCAAAUGAAGGAAUUUCCAAAAAGCAAAGACAAGAAAUGCCAGAUGAGGCUUCUUCAACAGGAGGGGGUUUAAAGAGAGAGGAGUCGGAUGGGAGUGUCAUCGGACCAGAGACAGAUGCUUCUUCUACUAGUUCCACCUCAUCAUUAACAUUGAGAUCUGAGUCCGAUUGAAGAGGAAGAUCCAGCAGGGGGGAUAGCCCUAAAAGUCGGGUCACAAAGGUCUUAUAUUAGGACUGCUGAGAUGGACAGUCAUAAUACUGUGCAGUGUGUGAAAGUAACAAAGGAAUGUCUCGCCAAAAUACAGACCCACAGAUGUGUUAAAUAUCAAACUGUAUAAUGCUAGAAAUUCCUCAGUGAAGGUUCAACAAUCCUCUAUUCAUUGUCAGGUUAACAUUUGUAUUUCUAAAUCAUACAGAGCUGCACAUAUUGUACUGUGUCUAAAAAUAAUCUCUUAGAAUGUGAGCUGUUCAUCAAAUAAGUGGCUGUAUGUUUUAUUUUGGGAAACAGAAUUACAGGCACUUGAUGUUUAUUAUGUUGUACAUUGACAGAUCUGAUAGAAUGUGGAAAGUUAUUCAUCAUAUUGCCGUUAUGUCAGCAUUGCGUUAUUUUGGACACACAUAGAAUACUGUAAAAGCAUGUCAGCAUAGUUAAGUUUAAUUAUAGUUAUUUUAUUCAAUUUGACAUGCAGAAGUAAAUAGCCAUUCAUAAUUAUUUGUUAACUUUUAGUUUUCUCAUUUUGGUACAUUGUUUUUCUUGUGCUUGAUAAUAACUUUGAAGAGGCAUCCUCUUUUCAUAGUAACACUUCAAGAAAUAUUCUUUUAAGCCUAGGGCAUGUGCAAAUUGAUGUAGAAUUAACAACAUAUUCUAUCGUGCUUUGAAUUAAAUGAAGACAAAUAUGUC
rnacentral:misc_RNA from 1 species